UUUUUUUUUGCAUUUAGCAUGAUGUUUCAUGCACGAAUCCCAUAGUAUCUUCUCCUUCAGGCCUGGAAAGGGUCCUAGACAAUGUGGUUUCCAAGGUUUGCUGACUCCUGGAGUCCUAGCCAAGGGAGGUCAAGUCCUGAACAGAUUCAGUGGGCAGAACCCACUCUGUAAACCCAAGUCAAGAGCCUGGAAAAAGGCUGGACAAGUGUUAUGCCUUGCUUGGCUGAGCAGAUAGAAUGAGGAGAAAAAAAUAAACAAAGAGAAGAUGAUGACUAAAUUCAAAGAGUGAAAUUCAGAGGUAGACAAAUACAAAGAGGGGUAAUAUCGUCACAGGUCUGAAGUUAAGAAAGGGAGACCUGAGUAGAAGAGGACCUGUGCAAGUGGGCCCAGUCUUUUGUUUAUAUAGUGGGAAACCGAGGCUAGGAAAAGGGUCAGGAUGGCUCCAUGUCACACAGUAAGUUAGAGACACAGCGGGGGUGGGAACCGGGUCUUCUGACUCCAGGGCUGCUCACGGGACACCAUAAGGUCAGCCCAAACUUGUUCCUCUAAGAUCGCGUAUGUUUAGUGCAGUCAGAGGGUCAGAGAAGAAAAAGAAAGUUGGUUAGUUAUGGUUUGCCCACUGCACUGGGCCCCGGGCGAGGCCUUCUCCCUGUAAGCACUCUUUCUCUGAAGAGUGGUUAUGAAGGUUUGUUAGUUCCAUUGGCCUCCCAAUUCUUCUGGAAGCUUCAGCAAAGAGAAAGGGAAAAAAAGGAAAAAAAAAAAACCAAGUAAAUCUUCAGUUUUGGAUCAUGAGAGGAACCCAGAAGAGGCCUCACUUGAAGGCUCACUAGGCUUUCCUCAGAGAAUAAGAUCUUCCCCAAAUCUGUAGUUUCUUUGAAGCUUUUUCUUUCAAUUUUUUUUUCAGUCUUUAAAUAGGAAGCAACUCAAAUAUUUCUUUGUUAGCAUAUGCUUCUUCAUUUGAUUGGCUGGCAGACAGUAUCAUGAAAAUCUGACUGAUAUCAUCCCCUUCCUCCUUCCCUGCUCUCCUUCCCCCUGGCUGAGUCCAGGACUUCCUUUCACUCCAGGCCCUUCCUCUCCAAGUCCAAACCACGGCCUGGGGGUGCCUAGCCUAUGAUAUUCCUGCUUCCAGGAAGGCUGUGGCAUCCGAAUACAGAGAGCCAAAGGAUCUACUCCUAUGCCUAGUCGAGUCGCAGGGGGAUGGGGCUGGAAGAGUCACCAAGGUCGGCUUUUGAAGGUCUUAAAUUGCCAAAUGCAAGAGUUUUCUCUUGAUGCUCUAGGCCAUGGGUGGCCAGAGAAGUCUUUAAAGGAGAAACAUCAUGAUCAGGUUGAGUGUUUAGACAAGACUGUGGAGGAGCUGUGUGCAAUUGGAGCGGCAGAGAGACGGCUGCCCAGGCUCAGGAUGCUCUGCAGGAGAGGUCCUGAUGGCUUGACCUUGGGUCGCGCCACAGUGACGACAAAAAGGAGAUGGAUUCAGUACAUAUAAAAGAGAGAUUCAAAAGGAUCUGGCUGUGAUGAGCACGGAGAGGGUGGAGGGGAUUAUUUGGUUAGGGAGGAGGAAGUGGGCAGGGGAAGUCCAGGAAUAUCAGGUUUCUGGCCUGGGAGCUAGAAUAUAUCCAAUUAAGUAAGGAGGCAGAGAUAUGGCAGGAUGGGAGCUAUGAAGGAGAAGGAAUGGUGCGUUCCUCUUGGGGCAUUCUGAAUUAAGGAGCUCUUGGGACAUGCAGAUAGAUAUGGGAUAGACAGGUCUGGGAUCAGGAAGGCACCACAGCUAAGCAUCCGGACCGGCUAGCCAGAUGGUGAUGAAGCCAGGCGCAGAGGACUCUGAUGGGUUUAUGCCUAGAUCUAUGUCCACUACCCUAAUCAGAGUCUCUGUGUCCUCUACACUGUCACCCCAUUGAUCCUUCUGAAGCACUCAGCUCAGACUGAAUGAACUACCAGUGUGCACAACCUUCAGUGGGUUUUUAAUGCUCAAUGAAAGACUUUUUCCAAGGUCUUUCAUGCCCUGGCCUCUCUCUGCUCUUCUAGAAUUGUUUUUAUCUCCAUACAAACACCCCAUGCACCUUACAAACUAAACUAUAUCUUUCCUUGAAUAUAUUCAUUCUUUUCUGUUUGCUCAGGAUGUUUCUUUCACCUUUUCCUCUUGAAAGCCUAUCCUGUCCACAGAGAAUCAGAUGAAAUUUUCCUUGGUCACCCGCCCCCCCUAUAGUGAUCUUUUGGGUCCUGAUGCCUCCUGAUUUGAAUUGUGACACCCCUCCAUGUACCAUGGCCACAUGGUUGUGAUCCUCUUCAGCUCCCAAAAACAAUAGGGCUAAGUUCCGUACCACUUGCCUCAAGGAAGGGACGUAAGGAAAUAUAGAACUAGGAGAACGAUUAUUAAGACAGACCUUGGCUUUUGAGUUUUAAAAGUCAAGGAUAUGAAGUUCUAAGGACUUGGACUUUUGAGUUUACAUUUUAUGUAAUAAAUUAUAGAUUAUUUGGAAACAGAUGUGAAGCCAGACUUCCUAACUGCCAGAUUAGAAGCAGAUUCUCCAGAUUGAGUAAAAGGAGAAUUGGAGGGCUCAGUCUCCAGGAAUCCUACAGGCCGGGGUCUGGUGGGCACUGACUGCCACUGCAGCUACUCAGUCUCUAUCCCAGGAAGUCUUUCUCCCACCACCGCAUGAGCUGACCUUGCAGUUGGAACAUCAAUAGGGACCCUCCAUCAAGGUAACUCCUGUCAGGUCCGGAAGACAUUGUCUAGUCUCUUUCUGGGUUGCUCAGAUGGACAACUCCCUUUCCCAUUGUCUAGGACCCUACUGUGAAUUCUACUCAUACGUCCUAAGAUAAAGGGUGGGAUCCCAGACGUCCAGUGGUCUGCUAGUGAUAUAACUCCUGCCCCACACCAUGUUUGUACUUCUAGGAUAGCUCAGAAUCCCCUCUGGCAGAAAUAUACUCUGUCCCUGACUUUUCUACUACCUUUAGAUUAUGAUCUUUCUCAUACUAUGGAUACUUGUUAGGUUGGGUAUCUUUGGGGGCCUCUCCAUUCUUCCCCACUUUCCUCUCUUCUCCAGAGGCUGGUCAACCAGGACUCAGGCCUUUGGAUUUCCUGUUGACUCAGACAUCAGGGAGCCCUGGUAGGGAGGGGGAGAGGGCAGUCAGGGCAACAAUUCCUCUGGCUGCUCCUUGUCAGGUAGCUGCUCUCAAUGGGAUCCUCCCUGACCUCCUGUCUCCUUUGGAGUUCCUGUCACCUUAGUCUUAUCUUGCUCCUUCUGAACAAGGUGGUGAAAGUUCUGUUACCAGCAGCCUCAGACACCACACUUAUCUCUUGUUUUCCUCUACCCUUGUCUGUAUCUUCAUAGCCAGUGCCUUGGUUAAAUCCUCCUUGAAUUAUUCCAAUUCAGAUGGGACAUCUGUUUUCUAACGGAAUUCUAUUGCAGAUUCCAUUUUCCAAAAAUGGAAUGAUAUGAUAAUAUCUGCCCUUCCACAGCUCUUCUUACAAUGUGACUUUGACAAUUCACCCUCAAGAGGAAAUGACACUGUGACUUCUGACUAGUCAUAAAAGAUGAUACUGCUUCUGCCUCAUUCUUUGGGAACACUUGCCUUUGGAGCCUGGGCCUGUCAUGUAAACAGUCUGACUUCCUGGCGACUGCUGUGCUAUGAGGAAGCUGAAGCCAGACCCUGAGUGUGACCAGUGGAGAAGCCCUGUGGCUAACUGAAGAGACAGAUUCAUGACCAACGCCCAGUGGCUUCAGCACCCCCUGACUGCAACUACCAGAGAGACCAGGGCCAGAAUUGCCCAGCGGAGCUCUUCCUGAAUUCCUGUCUCACAGGCACCAUGAAAGAACUCGAAUAAUCACUGUCGUACGUGGCUCUCUGCGAAGUGAUUUACUAUACAGCGACAGAUAACUGCGACUGACGGAUAUGCUUCAGAGACAUCUGCAGAUGUGCGUCUGCAGGGGCAAACAAAAGGUGUCCAUUCUGGGUGGCAAGCUUCCUGUGAUGAAGGGAUUGGGCCUUAUUGUAUUCCCCAGAGUGGCCAUCACACAGUGGUCCAUUCAUGAGUAUUUGUGAAUGGCCCAAAAGAUGUGCCAGUGAGAGUUUUGGUCUUCAAGGAAGAUUUGGGCAUUCUGAUCAUGUGAUAAAUAAGAAAAUGGAGGUCAUUGCAUUGCUGAUCCCCUGAAGGACAGACUGUGGGUUCUGUUUCCACUUACAAGUGUGUUUCUUUGAGCCUUGAUGAUGAAAAUCUGAUAUCUUUCUGAUUUAAGAUAUUCUUUUGAACUGAUAUUUUCAUUAAGAAGCUGAAUACUAAUUGUA
rnacentral:lncRNA from 1 species